GACGAACGCUGGCGGCGCGCUUAACACAUGCAAGUCGAGCGAGAACCAGGGCUUCGGCCCUGGGGACAGCGGCGAACGGGUGAGUAACACGUGGGUAAUCUGCCCUCGGCACCGGAAUAGCCCGGGGAAACCCGGAUUAAUGCCGGAUGGCCCCUUCACCUCGCGAGGUGUCGGGAAAAGGUAGCUUCGGCCUCUGGCCGAGGAUGAGCCCGCGGCGGAUUAGCUUGUUGGCGGGGUAACGGCCCACCAAGGCGACGAUCCGUAGCUGGUCUGAGAGGACGAUCAGCCACACUGGAACUGAGACACGGCCCAGACUCCUACGGGAGGCAGCAGUGGGGAAUCUUCCGCAAUGGACGAAAGGCUGACGGAGCAACGCCGCGUGAGUGAAGAAGGUUUUCGGAUCGUAAAGCUCUGUUGUUUGAGACGAAUGUGCCUGUUUCGAAUAGGGAUAGGUAAUGACGGUAUUAAACGAGAAAGCCACGGCUAACCACGUGCCAGCCGCCGCCGUAACAC
rnacentral:rRNA from 1 species